UGGGGUGUAGCUUAAUGGUGAGAGCAGCAGUCUUAUAAGCUGUGAAUAUGGGUUCAACUCCCAUCACCCCGACCA
rnacentral:tRNA from 1 species